AGGGUAGAGGAAGGGAGUGGAGGGUGCAGAGUGUCAGGAAGAGGAAGAGCGAGAGUGUUGCAGGGAAAGUACUGGUCUGUGCUGCGUGUGGGAAGUGACUUUAGUGGCGGCGUGAAGGCGAGGACACGAGUGAGGUGCUGGCAGGCUGACUGAGCGCAAUGGACCAACACGAAUAGCUGGAGCUCGGGGGACAGGCGCGCGCGAAGGCAGACGGCGACAGAUUUGUGACUCAAAACAAAAGCAUCGUGACAGCACAAGUGGGAGCGUCCGUCAUUCUUCACUGCAAGACCUCAAGUGCGACUGGCGGCCUGAUUUUUUAAGAAUACGCUGCUCUAAGGCAAGCACUGAGAAACAAGGAACGUCAUCGCCUCCAAUACGAUGACUGGUGAGGUAAACAAGUUAUAAGUCACUCGUGAUGGCGCAGGCGGCGCGUGGAGGCGAGGCUGCCCACCGCGUCCAUCCUCUGAGUGGCAUUAGUGCAGGAGUCCUUGUCUCAUCAGCCUCGGCCUCCACAAACACGGGCUGCUUUAACACUUGUGAAUAUAAGGCAAAAAACAUGGUGACUCGAGCAACUUUUCUGUGUCUUGGAUCAGGAAGAGGGACUACCAGCUCCUGACGGUGAUUCUGUACACACACUCCAGUGACGACCGCUUCUCCAUCAACUACUUGCAUUGGAUUUUUGUUGCCCUUGGCCAGUGUCCUUCCUACAAAAAAAAAAAAAAAAAAGUCACAGCCUCGGAGGUGCCACUUGGUCAAAAUGCGAGUGGAUUGACAUUAGCUGACCAAGACAGGACCAGAAAUUGACACCCACUUGCCACAAUAUCACUGUGAAGAACAUGCGAGCACUUGGGAGUUGCUUCCAUCAUGGGAGUGUCCCUCAAGAGUAGGAGCCACCCCUCUCACUGACCUGAGUCACCUGACCCUAUCAGAUUGACACAGAAGAGUGAAGGACUGCCUGCUGCCUUGAUGCAAGAAAGUUUAGGCUGCCAUCUCACUCCUGCAUUGACAGCUGAUUUGUGCUGAAGCCCACCAGUCCAGUCAAGCCAGGAGGGAACAGGUGAUCAGUGCUGAGGAGUGGAGAGUGGGCUGGCAGGAAUUAGAAGCUUUAAGAGGUUCUGAAGAAGAGAUGAAGUGGAAGAUGAACCUAGGGGCUGUCAGCUUUGUGGAAUCCCAGUAAAAUUGGAGGAUGAACUCCGCUGCCUGUCAAAUCCAUCCUGAAGUGAAGUACUCUGACUGAAUUGGGCCUUCCGUCAUCACAGUUGAAGAGAACCCAGCUCUGUCUGAACCCUGCCUGUCAGUUGCUAAACAUUGCAGAAGAUGGAGCCGUGGGUGAACCAAAGCCAUAUGUGAACCCGGCAAGAAAGUGGUGUUGCUGUCCUGAGGCUCAGGAGCACCAAUUCACUGUCCACCCUCCUUCAUCAUGGAAAGAUGUGUAUGAACAAAGAAAUUACUUGAUGAAAAAUAAAACUCACUGUAAUUUGUCAAAUUUAAUAAUUGUAUUGUGAAAAAAAAAUUAAAUUUGCUUAAUAA